rnacentral:rRNA from 1 species
UACGGAGGGUGCAAGCGUUAAUCGGAAUUACUGGGCGUAAAGCGUGCGCAGGCGGUUUGUUAAGUCCGCUGUGAAAUCCCUGAGCUCAACUUGGGAAUUGCAGUGGAUACUGGCAAGCUGGAGUAUGGUAGAGGAAGGUGGAAUUCCCGGUGUAGCAGUGAAAUGCGUAGAGAUCGGGAGGAACACCAGUGGCGAAGGCGGCCUUCUGGACCAAUACUGACGCUCAUGCACGAAAGCGUGGGGAGCAAACAGG